CUGGCUGCCGCUGCCUCCUCUGCUUUGAAUCUUCCGUGGAUAUUUCUCCGAUUUUUCCCAAACGCCCACAGAUCUUGGGGAAGCCACCCCAUUCAGCCAUCGACCAUGGAAGAAAGUCUGACUUUUUCUUUCCCAAAUAUUUUAAAAGAUGUUGGAAGCUCCAUAUGCUGCCUGGAGGCUGUUGUUUCUAGAGACACAAGUAUCCAGCCUAUAUUGUUACAAUGCUUUUUCCAGGACUGGCUUCUUCUUUGCCUCCACGAAUGAUUUUUAAGAAAGGAUUUUCAUUGUGUUUCUUCUCACAAAAGCAAUCUUUGUAUUUUUUCUUUAGCUUUGAUCUCUGCACAUUUCCACCUAAUCUUGUCUGGUUAAAUUUUACUGAAAGAAAGAAAUUGGUUUUUUGUUUUUUGUUUUUUCAGCCUGUGAUUCAAGCUAAAUAUUUCUAAUAUAAAUUAUACUUUAAUUAUUGCGAGCUAAGGGGAACUCAGCUAUUUCAAGAUGGACUUGUUUUGUGCCAGCAAUGUUGGUGAUGCCAAAUAUGUGCAUAUCCUCUUUAUAAAAAUUAUGUAUUACCUAAUUUGUCCAGGACUAAAUGAUCAGCAGGCAAACUAGGGAUGUAGUUUGGUUUUGUGUUGUUUUAAAUAGGCCUAUUGUGGUUUUCUUGAUGGAUUACUUGGAUACAAACUACAGAAAAGCUGCCCUUGGUAUAAUGAAGGUGGAGAUUGACAUAACCGGGUUUAUAUUAAGUUAUGGCUGUUACUAAAUAGUGGAUCUUUUAUUUGCUGAUCAGAUCUAAACUUGGGUUCCAUGAUAGUCAUUCUCUGUAGCCCCUCAUUAGGUAAUCUUUGCAGAUCCUGUUUUUCUCCAAAAAAGGUACAUUGGGGAGACAUUUUGUAAUUUUUGGCAUUUUUCUAAAAUUUUUUUUUUUUCUUUUUGCCCACGGUGGGAGAUCUUUUUUGUUUUGCAUUGAUCUGUGUUGGUGGCGCUGUAGCUCUCCUCAACAAUUUAUGUCAGUUUCACUAAAAGAAAAAAGGAGGAAAAAAAAAAGAGGUGGGGCAAGAUUUGAUCUAUUAUCUUCUCCCUUUAUUUCCUUAAAGAAAGUUCGAUUUGGUGCGAGGAAAUUAUUCAGUUUGUGUUAUUUUAAUGUUUUCUGCGAACUGUGAACUGUGAGUGAGAACAGACAUGUCGUCACAACCCGUCCAGGAGCAGCAGGGACGGGCAUGCAGUUUGCAGUUGUGUUUUAUCUGAUCUGAUUAUCUCUAGAUCAAAAUUUCUUCCAUAAUAAGCUGUCAGUUUACUCUCUCUUUCCUCAGAAACGUCUUGCAUUUUCCUUCUCUCACAAUACCAUCCGUGCUUAUGUCUUCUUUCUAACAAAAUGUUGGAGUUUUAGUUCACUGAACAUUGUAAAAGUUGAAUUUCAUUUUGAACCUAGGGAUUUCUUAAAUAAGUAUUCUAAGUUUCUCCUGGGAAUUUUCUAGGUAAUAAUGCCUACAUUGUUGUUUGUUUUAUUUCAAAGUGAUAUUUUGGUUGAAUUUAUGUGUUUCCUUGUUUGAAAAGAGCAAGUAUUUUUGAAUGAGAUAAUUUUUUUAAGAAUCUGUGUACCACUGCUUUUAAAUUUAAAGAUAUUGGUAUUCAUGUAUUUAAAUGCAGGGUAAAUCUUUUCCAUCUUUGUUCUUAUUGGGAGUUAUCUGAUUAGAGAAUAUGGGAUUUAGGCCCAAAGCCUCCCAAGAACAAAAAUGUACAUUAUGAUAUGACAUAGUUUUUACUGGUCCUUAGUUAUUUAUGGAGAUAAUAAAUAUGUCCUUAAUUGAAAAAGAAAGUAGUAGAGAUCAGUGAUUGUACCUAAAUAUUUUGCCAAAUAAAACAAAAACAACUGAAAUAGUAUCCCAGACAACCUUUUCAUAUGAUUGAAUACAUUAUUUCUUGAGAGAGUAAAAAAUUUCUGGAGUUAAUAUAGUAAGUGUUUUUACUCACUUUGAAAUAUGUAAAUGCUCAUUUCACUAAUCAUUUAAAAUGUUGACAUAAAAGAAUGUGUGAAAAUACCUAGGAAUAGUAUUUCUGAUUUUGGUGUCCCUAUAAUUUCUUUAUCUGUGUAGGACCCUUGAACUUCAACAACAAUUGUGUAUUAUGCCUAUAUUUUGUUUAUACUUGGCUAUAAAAAUUUGAGACUGUUCACUGUAACAUUUUAUCUCCUCAUAAAAUUUCAAUGCCCCCAUCAAGCCUAGUUUUGGCAUUAUAGAUUAUUUCUAGACUAAAAUACUGCAGGUGUAAAUACAUGAUCUAACCCUCUGUGCUGGAGAGUUGAGUUCUCUGAAGUUAAUCUACUGAAUAAAAUAUACUUUAUUGCUAAAAUAUUCUGUUAUUCAGCUGGUGAUUUUUUUUUUGCAUUUUAAUUGGUGAAAGCUAAAAAUGUUUGUAUAAUGUAGCCCCCCUUUUAAAAACAAACUGAUGCUGUGAAGUCCGUAUGUAGCUAUGCAAUGUUCUUUGUUCUCCUACAUCAUCGACUAUUACAUCAUUGAUUAUGAGUAAUCAUUAUAGUUACAUCUUCACUUUUCGAAAUCAUCCAUAGAUAUUUAUGUUAAAGAUAUUCUUCUCUGUGUGAUUCUUAUAUCCCUAAAGGAGGAGGUUUAAAAUCUGCGAGGCAAAAACCAAUUCAUUGUUUUAUAUUAUUCUCCAUUUUUAAAUCCACCUUGUGCUUCAUUUUAGCUCUUGAUUCUUUGGACGUUAAUUUUUUUCCAAAUUGGCAACAUUUUGUAGGUGUUUAGUUCAUGAGUUUGGUGAGAUUAUGAUUAGAAUUAUUAUAAUAAACUAUGUUUUAUCAUGAAAAAAAUCUGUAUUUAUUAAAUGUAGUAUAUAGAGAACUAACUCAGUUUUCCAUAGUGACAGUUGCUAGAUCAUGGACAAUAAAAUUUUUUUUUUUAAUCUUGAAAUGUCAUUUUAGACAAUGAUUACAUAUUUUUUUCUUGCACACCUUUUUUAUCAGAGAUAGUAGCAAGUAGCAAAAUUGACUGUGUUAAAAUAUCGUUAUCAUUUUUUUCAUCCUGCCCAUCCCUCUGAUGGAGGGGAGGGGUCAAUGAGUAGUGAAAUGGCCAAAAAAAAAAAAAAAACAGUUUACAGAAAGAAGAAAUAAAUGAUGUCAAUGACAUGGAGAAUCUGUAAAUCAAAUUUCAAACAAUAAACCUCAGAAAAAUGAACUUGAAAUUAUGAGCUUAAUCAAUAACGGAAAUAAACUGAAAUUUUUAUGUAGACUUAAUGUAGUGAGCCAAUAUAAUUUCCUAGUUUAUUAAUUUGUAUUCAUUAGUAUUGCUCAAGAUUGGGGAAAUUUUCAGGUUAGUCGACGUAUUGGGAAAGAUCCAGUAACAAAGAGAAGAAACACAGCGAUGGUAAGAUGACGUAUCAUGAAAUGCUGGAAAUAUUAGCCAGGACCAAUUUAGUAGACCUUGGAGUAAACUUUUUAGAAGAAGGAAAAAUAGCUUAAAAUUUUAUCCUCUGAACACCAAAUUCAAUACAGACCUGACAUUGUAUGGUUCUAUUUCCACCUUUUUGUGUAUACUUACCUGUACUGUUUCUUGGACCAAUCAUUACAUGUUUUGCGAAGGAAGAGAUGGGGAAAGAGAGUAAGAAACCAAAUGGGUGUUUUGCGGUUUUUUUUUUUUUUUUUUUCUUCUUCUUAUCUCUCCAAAAAGAUUCUUAAAUGGAGGCUCUAAGGGGAAAGUAAAGCAAAGAUAAUGAUUUAAGAAUAAGAUGAGGAGUUCCCGUCAUGGUGCAGCGGAAAUGAAUCUGGCUAAGAACCUUGAGGUUGCGGGUUCAAUCCCUGGCCUCGCUCAGCGGGUUUAGGAUCUGGUGUUGCUGUGAACUGUGGUAUAGGUCCCAGAGGUGUUGCUGUGGCUGUGGUGUAGGCCAGCAGCUAUAGCUCAGGUUCGACCCCUAGCCUGGGAACCUCCAUAUGCCUCGGGUG
rnacentral:lncRNA from 1 species